GAUGAACGCUGGCGGCGUGCUUAACACAUGCAAGUCGAACGGGAAAUAUUUCAUUGAGACUUCGGUGGAUUUGAUUUAUUUCUAGUGGCGGCCGGGUGAGUAACGCGUGGGUAACCUGCCUUAUCUAGGGGGAUAACAGUCAGAAAUGGCUGCUAAUAUCGCAUAAGCGCACAGAGCUGCAUGGCUCAGUGUGAAAAACUCCGGUGGAAUAAGCUGGACCCGCUUUGGUUUAGCUAGUUGGUAGGGAAACGGACCACCAAGGCGCCGAUCCAUAGCCGGCCUGAGAGGGUGAACCGCCACAUUUGGACGGAGACACGGCCGAGACUCCUACGGGAAGCAGCAGUGGGUAAUAUUGCACAAUGGGGGAAACCCUGAUGCAGCGACGCCGCGUGAAGGAAGAAGUAUCUCGGGAUGUAAACUUCUAUCAGCAGGGAAGAUAGUGACGGUACCUGACUAAGAAGCCCCGGCUAACUACGUG
rnacentral:rRNA from 1 species